CCUACGGGAGGCAGCAGUGGGGAAUUUUGGACAAUGGGCGCAAGCCUGAUCCAGCAAUGCCGCGUGAGUGAAGAAGGCCUUCGGGUUGUAAAGCUCUUUUGUCAGGGAAGAAACGGCUGAGGUUAAUACCUUUGGCUAAUGACGGUACCUGAAGAAUAAGCACCGGCUAACUACGUGCCAGCAGCCGCGGUAAUACGUAGGGUGCAAGCGUUAAUCGGAAUUACUGGGCGUAAAGCGUGCGCAGGCGGUUUUGUAAGUCUGACGUGAAAUCCCCGGGCUCAACCUGGGAAUUGCGUUGGAGACUGCAAGGCUGGAGUCUGGCAGAGGGGGGUAGAAUUCCACGUGUAGCAGUGAAAUGCGUAGAGAUGUGGAGGAACACCGAUGGCGAAGGCAGCCCCCUGGGUCAAGACUGACGCUCAUGCACGAAAGCGUGGGGAGCAAACAGGAUUAGAUACCCUGGUAGUCCACGCCCUAAACGAUGUCUACUAGUUGUCGGGUCUUAAUUGACUUGGUAACGCAGCUAACGCGUGAAGUAGACCGCCUGGGGAGGUACGGUCGCGAGAUAACUACAANAGAGUAGACGGCGUGAGAGNGCCGACGGACGACGACGAGGGAGGAGG
rnacentral:rRNA from 1 species